UACGAAGGGGGCUAGCGUUGCUCGGAAUCACUGGGCGUAAAGCGCACGUAGGCGGGUCGUUAAGUCAGGGGUGAAAUCCCGGAGCUCAACUCCGGAACUGCCUUUGAUACUGGCGAUCUUGAGUUCGAGAGAGGUGAGUGGAACUGCGAGUGUAGAGGUGAAAUUCGUAGAUAUUCGCAAGAACACCAGUGGCGAAGGCGGCUCACUGGCUCGAUACUGACGCUGAGGCACGAAAGCGUGGGGAGCAAACAGG
rnacentral:rRNA from 1 species